GAAAUGCGAUAAGUAGUGUGAAUUGCAGAAUUCAGUGAAUCAUCGAAUCUUUGAACGCACAUUGCGCCCUUUGGUAUUCCUUAGGGCAUGCCUGUUCGAGCGUCAUCUAAACCUUCAAGCCCUGCUUGGUGUUGGGUGCCUGUCCCGCCUCCGCGCGCGGACUCACCUCAAAUCCAUUGGCGGCCCCCGCGUCGGCCACGAGCGCAGCAGAAACGCGAACUCGUGAGCCCGUCCGGGCGGCUCCCAGAAGCUACACCCACCCAGUUUGGCCUCGGAUCAGGCGGGGAUACCCGCUGAACUUAAGC
rnacentral:misc_RNA from 1 species